UACGUAGGGCGCAAGCGUUGUCCGGAAUCACUGGGCGUAAAGCGCACGUAGGCGGCUUCUUAAGUCAGGGGUGAAAUCCUGGAGCUCAACUCCAGAACUGCCUUUGAUACUGAGGAGCUCGAGUCCGGGAGAGGUGAGUGGAAUUCCGAGUGUAGAGGUGAAAUUCGUAGAUAUUCGGAAGAACACCAGUGGCGAAGGCGACUGACUGGACAAGUAUUGACGCUGAGGUGCGAAAGCGUGGGGAGCAAACAGGG
rnacentral:rRNA from 1 species